rnacentral:rRNA from 1 species
CAGUCGCCGCGGUAAUACGUAGGGUGCAAGCGUUAAUCGGAAUUACCGGGCGUAAAGCGUGCGCAGGCGGUUUGUUAAGACAGAUGUGAAAUCCCCGGGCUCAACCUGGGAACUGCAUUUGUGACUGGCAAGCUAGAGUGUGGCAGAGGGGGGUGGAAUUCCGCGUGUAGCGGUGAAAUGCGUAGAUAUGCGGAUGAACACCGAUGGCGAAGGCAGCCCCCUGGGCCAACACUGACGCUCAUGCACGAAAGCGUGGGGAGCAAACAGGAUUAGAGACCCGGGUAGUCCCUGUCUCUUAUAC